rnacentral:rRNA from 1 species
AGAGUGAACGCUGGCGGCAGGCCUAAUACAUGCAAGUCGAACGGCAGCACAGCAGAGCUUGCUCUGUGGGUGGCGAGUGGCGGACGGGUGAGGAAUACAUGGGAAUCUGCCCAGUCGUGGGGGAUAACGUAUGGAAACGUACGCUAAUACCGCAUGCGCCCUUCGGGGGAAAGCCGGGGACCUUCGGGCCUGGUGCGAUUGGAUGAGCCCAUGUCGGAUUAGCUAGUUGGCGGGGUAAAGGCCCACCGAAGGCGACGAUCCGUAGCUGGUCUGAGAGGAUGAUCAGCCACACUGGGACUGAGACACGGCCCAGACCUCCGUACGGGAGCAGCAGUGGGAAUUUUGGACAAGUGGGGACAACCCGUGACUCCAGCCAUUCCGCGUGAGUAGAAGAAGGCCGUUCGGUUAGUAAGUCUUCGUUUUGUACCGGUAACGGAACGGUUGCGUAGA